rnacentral:rRNA from 2 species
GGCGGCCGUAGCGCGGUGGUCCCACCUGACCCCAUGCCGAACUCAGAAGUGAAACGCCGUAGCGCCGAUGGUAGUGUGGGGUCUCCCCAUGCGAGAGUAGGGAACUGCCAGG